rnacentral:rRNA from 1 species
GGUUAAGCGACUAAGCGUACACGGUGGAUGCCCUGGCAGUCAGAGGCGAUGAAGGACGUGCUAAUCUGCGAUAAGCGCCGGUAAGGUGAUAUGAACCGUUAUAACCGGCGAUUUCCGAAUGGGGAAACCCAGUGUGAUUCGUCACACUAUCAUUAACUGAAUCCAUAGGUUAAUGAGGCGAACCGGGGGAACUGAAACAUCUAAGUACCCCGAGGAAAAGAAAUCAACCGAGAUUCCCCCAGUAGCGGCGAGCGAACGGGGAGGAGCCCAGAGCCUGAAUCAGCAUGUGUGUUAGUGGAAGCGUCUGGAAAGGUGCGCGAUACAGGGUGACAGCCCCGUACACAAAAGCGCAUGUGCUGUGAGCUCGAUGAGUAGGGCGGGACACGUGGUAUCCUGUCUGAAUAUGGGGGGACCAUCCUCCAAGGCUAAAUACUCCUGACUGACCGAUAGUGAACCAGUACCGUGAGGGAAAGGCGAAAAGAACCCCGGCGAGGGGAGUGAAAAAGAACCUGAAACCGUGUACGUACAAGCAGUGGGAGCACAGGUUUACCUGUGUGACUGCGUACCUUUUGUAUAAUGGGUCAGCGACUUAUAUUCUGUAGCAAGGUUAACCGUAUAGGGGAGCCGUAGGGAAACCGAGUCUUAACCGGGCGUUAAGUUGCAGGGUAUAGACCCGAAACCCGGUGAUCUAGCCAUGGGCAGGUUGAAGGUUGGGUAACACUAACUGGAGGACCGAACCGACUAAUGUUGAAAAAUUAGCGGAUGACCUGUGGCUGGGGGUGAAAGGCCAAUCAAACCGGGAGAUAGCUGGUUCUCCCCGAAAGCUAUUUAGGUAGCGCCUCGUGAAUUCAUCUCCGGGGGUAGAGCACUGUUUCGGCUAGGGGGCCAUCCCGGCUUACCAACCCGAUGCAAACUGCGAAUACCGGAGAAUGUUAUCACGGGAGACACACGGCGGGUGCUAACGUCCGUCGUGAAGAGGGAAACAACCCAGACCGCCAGCUAAGGUCCCAAAGUCAUGGUUAAGUGGGAAACGAUGUGGGAAGGCCCAGACAGCCAGGAUGUUGGCUUAGAAGCAGCCAUCAUUUAAAGAAAGCGUAAUAGCUCACUGGUCGAGUCGGCCUGCGCGGAAGAUGUAACGGGGCUAAACCAUGCACCGAAGCUGCGGCAGCGAACGUAUCACCCAAGACAACUUUACGGAGUUGACGAUUGACGGAGCGAAGCGACGUCAAAGCGUUCAUUAAAGUCGAGUUGGCUUAGGGAUACGUUCGUUGGGUAGGGGAGCGUUCUGUAAGCCUGUGAAGGUGUGUCGUGAGGCAUGCUGGAGGUAUCAGAAGUGCGAAUGCUGACAUAAGUAACGAUAAAGCGGGUGAAAAGCCCGCUCACCGGAAGACCAAGGGUUCCUGUCCAACGUUAAUCGGGGCAGGGUGAGUCGACCCCUAAGGCGAGGCCGAAAGGCGUAGUCGAUGGGAAACGGGUUAAUAUUCCCGUACUUGGUGUUACUGCGAAGGGGGGACGGAGAAGGCUAUGUUGGCCGGGCGACGGUUGUCCCGGUUUAAGCGUGUAGGUGUGUGUUCCAGGUAAAUCCGGUUCACUUUAACACUGAGGCGUGACGACGAGGCACUACGGUGCUGAAGCAACAAAUGCCCUGCUUCCAGGAAAAGCCUCUAAGCAUCAGGUAACAUCAAAUCGUACCCCAAACCGACACAGGUGGUCAGGUAGAGAAUACCAAGGCGCUUGAGAGAACUCGGGUGAAGGAACUAGGCAAAAUGGUGCCGUAACUUCGGGAGAAGGCACGCUGACACGUAGGUGAAGUGAUUUACUCAUGGAGCUGAAGUCAGUCGAAGAUACCAGCUGGCUGCAACUGUUUAUUAAAAACACAGCACUGUGCAAACACGAAAGUGGACGUAUACGGUGUGACGCCUGCCCGGUGCCGGAAGGUUAAUUGAUGGGGUCAGCGUAAGCGAAGCUCCUGAUCGAAGCCCCGGUAAACGGCGGCCGUAACUAUAACGGUCCUAAGGUAGCGAAAUUCCUUGUCGGGUAAGUUCCGACCUGCACGAAUGGCGUAAUGAUGGCCAGGCUGUCUCCACCCGAGACUCAGUGAAAUUGAACUCGCUGUGAAGAUGCAGUGUACCCGCGGCAAGACGGAAAGACCCCGUGAACCUUUACUAUAGCUUGACACUGAACAUUGAGCCUUGAUGUGUAGGAUAGGUGGGAGGCUUUGAAGUGUGGACGCCAGUCUGCAUGGAGCCGACCUUGAAAUACCACCCUUUAAUGUUUGAUGUUCUAACGUGGACCCGUAAUCCGGGUUGCGGACAGUGUCUGGUGGGUAGUUUGACUGGGGCGGUCUCCUCCUAAAGAGUAACGGAGGAGCACGAAGGUUGGCUAAUCCUGGUCGGACAUCAGGAGGUUAGUGCAAUGGCAUAAGCCAGCUUGACUGCGAGCGUGACGGCGCGAGCAGGUGCGAAAGCAGGUCAUAGUGAUCCGGUGGUUCUGAAUGGAAGGGCCAUCGCUCAACGGAUAAAAGGUACUCCGGGGAUAACAGGCUGAUACCGCCCAAGAGUUCAUAUCGACGGCGGUGUUUGGCACCUCGAUGUCGGCUCAUCACAUCCUGGGGCUGAAGUAGGUCCCAAGGGUAUGGCUGUUCGCCAUUUAAAGUGGUACGCGAGCUGGGUUUAGAACGUCGUGAGACAGUUCGGUCCCUAUCUGCCGUGGGCGCUGGAGAACUGAGGGGGGCUGCUCCUAGUACGAGAGGACCGGAGUGGACGCAUCACUGGUGUUCGGGUUGUCAUGCCAAUGGCACUGCCCGGUAGCUAAAUGCGGAAGAGAUAAGUGCUGAAAGCAUCUAAGCACGAAACUUGCCCCGAGAUGAGUUCUCCCUGAGACUUAGAGUCUCCUGAAGGAACGUUGAAGACGACGACGUUGAUAGGCCGGGUGUGUAAGCGCAGCGAUGCGUUGAGCUAACCGGUACUAAUGAACCGUGAGGCUUAACCUU